rnacentral:lncRNA from 1 species
GCGGGGCCGGGGAAGGCGCGAAGAAGUCGGGAGGAGGCGCGCGUGCGGGCGGCAGUCUGCGGAACCUCGUAUUUCCGUAUUGUUGCGUGUGUUGUUACUGGGGGAACUAUUGCUGCCAUUAUCAUCUCGCCAAAAAGAGUGGAUGCGGUUGUUUUUAAUUCAUCCAGUGUUGUGGGGUCCGCCCUCUCCAAAGCAUCGCUGCUCCUCUGCCCGCCUCAACAGCCCGGGGAAGAGCCCUUCUCUCCUGAGGCUCGGUCCCAGCUGACAGCAUGGAGCACUGGCUCACACAUCCUGCCUCAUCCCGGCUCACACGUGGGAACAACGGGUCUGGGGAAACACGCUUGCCAUCUUCAAAGACUACCAUCAGCACCUUGGCUAGACCGGUGUAGUUUUUCUUUAGAACGCCAGGCAAAGGAAGGGGAAGCAACUCUGCAAAAGACAACCCAAAAGGUGUGACCCCUGUUACAUAGGAAUUGUAUUUACCACUGUUGGAGCGGAAGUUAUAGAUAACAGGGAAAGAGGCCAGAGUGAUCCGUGUGGUGAUGGAUUAAAGCUUGAGCCACUGGUAUAAGACCAUGUGUAGCUCAACAUAGAGAUCAGUACGCAUAGAAUUGUUGACAAGCAUGCUGCAUUAGUCACCUUUCCACUGCUGUGACAGAAC